rnacentral:rRNA from 1 species
UACAGAGGUCCCGAGCGUUGUUCGGAUUCACUGGGCGUAAAGGGUGCGUAGGUGGUGAGGUAAGUCGGAUGUGAAAUCUCCAGGCUCAACCUGGAAACUGCAUUGGAAACUACCUUGCUAGAGGAUUUGAGGGGGGAUUGGAAUACUUGGUGUAGCAGUGAAAUGCGUAGAUAUCAAGUGGAACACCAGUGGCGAAGGCGGCUCACUGGCCCGGUACUGACGCUGAGGUGCGAAGGCGUGGGGAGCAAACAGG